rnacentral:rRNA from 1 species
CCUACGGGAGGCAGCAGUAGGGAAUAUUGCUCAAUGGGGGAAACCCUGAAGCAGCAACGCCGCGUGGAGGAUGAAGGUUUUCGGAUUGUAAACCUCUUUUGUUAGAGAAGAAAAUUACGGUAACUAACGAUUAACGACUGGCCAACUACGUUCCAGCCGCCCCGGUAAUACGGCGGGUGCAAGCGUUACUCGGAAUCACUGGGCGUAAAGAGCGCGUAGGCGGGAUAGCAAGUCAGAUGUGAAAUCCUAUGGCUUAACCGGAGAAGUGCAUUUGAAACUGUUAUUCUAGAGUGGAGGAGAGGUAGGUGGAAUUCUUGGUGUAGCGGUGAAAUGCGUAGAUAUCAAGAGGAAUACUCAUGGCGAAGGCGACCUGCUAGAACGUAACUGACGCUGAGGCGCGAAAGCGUGGGGAGCAAACAGGAUUAGAUACCCGAGUAGUC